rnacentral:lncRNA from 1 species
UUUAACAAGUUCAAAACUCAUUACCAGAUUGUGGGUUGUAGAUCUACAUAAAUAACUCAUGUAGGAAAGAGUCCCUUCAGGUUGCUCGCAGCUGCAUGAAGACGUCUGGCCUCUAUAGAACGUCCACACAAGGACAAGUGCAGAUCUAGCUCCUGGGAAGUGCUAGCUUGCAAGGAUCUUCAAGGCUGAAUUGUCUCUUCUUCUCUUGAACUCUUGGAUGCUCCAAAAGAGAGGAAGAGGAGA